GGACAGCAGCAGGAACAGAGAGGGAAGUCUGUGGAAUUUUUUGAUGCCCUCCCAGGAGAUACUGCCUCUGUUCAUACAGUACUGGCUAGUUGAAGGACUGUUCCUUUUAGCUUUUGCUUUUGAGACUGUUUAAGAACUGAUGAUGAGACCUUUGGCUCACUCCUGUACUUUCCUUGGUGACUGGUGGUUGGCUUACUUCAAAAUGCCUUCCUUGCGUCAGCCUAAAACAUGUGACUAUGUGCUACCAGUGGAGAAAGGCAUCAUCGUAAAACUAUUAGGAGGUCAUAGAUACACUGAGGCCCUCCAUGUUUUUCAUGUGGUGCCUCAGAUGAAGACUGC